rnacentral:lncRNA from 1 species
GCGGGGGUAGGGGUGGAGGGGCGGAUGUUGUGGCGUAGCGUGACGCUAGUGGACCAGCUCACCGCGGUGGUACACCAUUUCGAGCGUCAUGGCUCAUUGUUGUUGUGGUGGAGGAGGCGGCGACGGUCACGUGACCGUCAAGCAGAAUUCCGCGUGGCUGACGUCCUCCGAAUGGUGGAGAGGAAGCCUGCAAAGAAGUUAGUUGUGGUAUAGAUCUUGACAUCGGAGAAGCCAAAGGCGAUGCAGAAUGAGGCAACAGAGGAGGAUGAGCUUGAGUCUGCCUAGGGGAGCUUGGUGUUGGCGUCAGGGUGAAGGUACCGUGGAGGAGUCGUGGUUUGAGGAGGACGUGCCACCGAGUAGUCGUGCAAUGGGGGUGGUCGUGCGCGUACAAGGGGAGGGGGCGAUGGAAGGGAGCGAGCACAACACAAAUGGCCAGGCUAUCGAUACUAGGCGAGGGAGACUGGGGGAGGAGCCCACCAGGGGAGGAGGAUGGAGCGAGGGCGAGCGUGCACUAUGCAAUUUCCGUGUGAGUGUGAGAAUUGAUGCAACAACAAGAUGAGGGCCUAAAGCUGAGCCCCUACGAAUGGGGCCUAUAUAUGGGAAAGAUUUGGGUGCUUAUUCAAACUUUGAGGCUCUAGUAGGGGUCUUACUGAAUUUGUGUUUUUGGGUGAACACCUAUAUGUAAGGCCUCCAAUAGCGACCCUUCUCUGGAGUUGGUCGAUACGACUGUUAAUAUAUAUAUAUUGUCACAUGAUGGAGCUACCACACCAUCAAAUAAAAAGUUAUGUAAAGCAUAACGGAAUAAAGGAAGUGUGUGAAACCAUAUCCUUCUUGCUAAAAACAUUCAUUUAGGUGCCAUUUGUAGAAUAGAAAUUGUAAAGAAUAGUCAAGAGUUCUUGCUGACUAGGCAUUGGUCGGGAGACCCGCAGCAAAGUCUGAGGGCCC